CCUACGAUCACCGAAGUUAAGCAAUGCCGAGCCAGGUCAGUAUUAUGAUCGAUGAUCACUUGGGAAUACCUAGUGCUGAA